rnacentral:lncRNA from 1 species
GCAUCUCACUUCAUGGAAGUAGGGGCAGAAGUUCCCUCUGGAUCCUUUUCUUGACAAGCAGUCAAGAGGAAGGUCCCCAUACACAUGUACCUGUGUGAUACUUGGUAGUUUCUAAGAAUGGUGCUACAUAAGCGUUGCUGUUAGGCUGGGAUCCUAUUAAUGAACGUUUGAUUAGUUCAGGCCUCCCAAUGGCAAAGGCAGACACCGUGGAGAUGGACAUUUACUGACUCCCCUUCUGUGUGGCUUCGGUCUCCCUGGCUAACACCACACCUGUGCGUACUGCGCUCGGCCCACUUUGCUGCAGAAACGUAGCAAGCGUUUCAUGUCAGGGCUACAGCUGAGAGCAAAAACUGCAAAAAAAAA